UACGUAGGGUGCAAGCGUUAAUCGGAAUUACUGGGGCGUAAAGCGUGCGCAGGCGGUUUUGUAAGUUUGUCGUGAAAUCCCCGGGCUCAACCUGGGAAUGGCGAUGAAGACUGCAAGGCUAGAAUCUGGCAGAGGGGGGGGUAGAAUUCCACGUGUAGCAGUGAAAUGCGUAGAGAUGUGGAGGAACACCGAUGGGCGAAGGCAGCCCCCUGGGUCAAGA
rnacentral:rRNA from 1 species